CGCAAUGGGCGAAAGCCUGACGGAGCGACGCCGCGUGAUGGAUGACGUGCUUCGGUAUGUAAACAUUUUUUAUCGGGGACGAAGUUUAUUGACGGUACCCGAUGAAUAAGGGGCUCCUAACUCUGUGCCAGCAGGAGCGGUAAUACAGAGGCCCCAAGCCUUACCCGGAAUCACUGGGCGUAAAGGGUGUCGAGGCGGCCCUGUUAGUCUCUCGUAAAAUCCGCGGGCUUAACCUGCGGCGCGCGAGGGAAACGGCAGGGCUCGAGGGCCCGAGAGGUGCACGGAACUCAUGGCGGAGGGGUGAAAUCCCUUGAUAUCAUGGGGAACACCGAAGGCGAAGGCAGUCCACUGGCGCCUUCCCGACGCUCCCACACGAAAGCCC
rnacentral:rRNA from 1 species